CCCUUAGAUGUUCUGGGCUGCACGCGCGCUACACUGAUGCGAUCAACAAGUUUUUCCUAUGUCGAUAGACACGGGUAAUCUUUUGAACUCGCAUCGUGAUGGGGAUAGAUUAUUGUAAUUAUUAAUCUUCAACGAGGAAUUCCUAGUAGGUGCAAAUCGUCAGUUUGCAUCGAUUACGUCCCUGCCCUUUGUACACACCGCCCGUCGCUGCUACCGAUUGGUUGAUCUGGUGAAUUAUUCGGACUGCCGGCUGAAGGGGUUUCCUCAUCUGCCAGCGGAAAGUCUUGUUAACCCUAUCAACUAGAGGAAGCAGAAGUCGUAACA
rnacentral:rRNA from 1 species